UAUAUUACAUAAUAGUGUUUCGGUUGGCCUAUACGGCAAGCUUAUACUACACCAAGGACCAGUCUAAGACUAGUUUGAACCUGCCCUAAGUAUAAGCUUCAUCAAAAAGGAAAGUUUUAAACCAGCUCUUAAAAGUAGAGAGUGGAUUCCAAAGGAGAGAAGUCUGAUAACCGAAGGCUUGAUUUCCCGUACUACUUAUGGAUAUUUCAUGGUUCUCAAACAGGCCUGAAUAUUGGGAGCACAAUGUUCUGGAGGUCUGAUAGGAUACACCAUUCCUAAGGCGGAGGCAUGCUAACUGAGGGCUCUACCUCCUGUACUUCUUCUGGAGACUUUAGGUACCUCAAGCAGGCCAGCACUCUGGAAGCAAAGCAUUUUAAAGUUGUGAUAUGGAGCUAUGAGCUGUUAUGGCAGAUAAAUAUUUAAGAUGUCUGUAAUCGUUUCCAAGUUGGCUCCCCAUGAUCUAGACUGUGAGGUUCCUCUUCUUUCCUGCCCCAAAAGAUGUGAUGAUCCACUUUUUCCUCUGUUCAUUUUUAACGAAACAAGAUGUUCAUACUUCAUCUCAUUUCUUCUCAAUCACAUUCCCUUUCUUCUUUGUCCACCAUGAAUCCUCUCAUUAUUCAUAAGCGAUAAUAUUCAAUCGUCUGCAUGGAAUUAACGCUGCUCAUUGUGUGUGUAUGUGCGGGACACCUCAUCAUCAGCCCAUCAUAUAGAUCAGUGCUGAUGAUCCGUCUGGAGCGAGAGGACAGAGAAGCAGACCAUUGUUCGUGGACCUCUCUCCUCAUUUUUUUGUCUCCAUCACAAUGGACCAAACCUGUCACCAACGCUCUCACUCUCAGAGCCGAAGCAGCUAAUUCAUCCAUUUAUAUUUAUAUAGAUGUGGAUCGGAGCCUUUGUGGUGUAGUUAUGCACCAUGGAAUAUUAUGAAAUAACAAAAGAGCUGAUAAGAGCGACACAAGAGGUCCAUGAUCUGGGACAGAGGAGUCACUGCUGCGGCCAGAGGAAGAUGGGACAAGCUGAGACUGAACCAACAAUUAACAGCUAAGAUGUUUUUGGAUAAUUGGAAAACAUGAAACACAAGUUUUAUAACCCAUCUCGUUAAGGAAGGGGCACAAGCUCUGUUGGUGGAAUAAAGUUAUUUAUGGCAAAAAAUAAAACUGUGCGAGUACAAAAGUUCGGCUAACAUAAAUUAAAAGGCUCCUUGAGGAUCUAACCUGGAGUGAA